UGUGAGGUUAAGCGACUAAGCGUACACGGUGGAUGCCCUGGCAGUCAGAGGCGAUGAAGGACGUGCUAAUCUGCGAUAAGCGUCGGUAAGGUGAUAUGAACCGUUAUAACCGGCGAUUUCCGAAUGGGGAAACCCAGUGUGAUUCGUCACACUAUCAUUAACUGAAUCCAUAGGUUAAUGAGGCGAACCGGGGGAACUGAAACAUCUAAGUACCCCGAGGAAAAGAAAUCAACCGAGAUUCCCCCAGUAGCGGCGAGCGAACGGGGAGGAGCCCAGAG
rnacentral:rRNA from 1 species